AAAAAAAAAAACAUUGCUGUCCUCCAUCUUAGGGAAGAUAGAAACCCAGUGGCAGCAGUCAUGGUGAGGUGCCAUCGGCAGUCAUAGUCACGUUUAAUUAAAUGAAUUCACCAGUAGGUAGGUUAUGUCACCUCAGAGGAACAGGGGCUGUACAUAAGAUCUUGAUUUUACCCAAAGAAUGGCAGGACUUCCCAGUAAGAUGGAUAAAACCAAUCAAGGGUUGAAUUUUGUGGGCAUGGAAAUAUAGAACUACAAAAAGUAUUCUUGUGAAACUAAUUCAUCAUUGCAGUAAAAAUAUAGGCUAUAAUGUUAGUAAAAUAAUACUAUUUUAUUCAGAUCCUCAUAAUUGACCACAUCAAAAAUACUCAGUCAACUCACCCAUAUACAAAUAUUAUUUAUGGGCUAUUCUGAUUUCCUUAGAUCAAAUAGACAUGGUAGAUUUUGUUGUUGUUUGUUUGUUUAAAUUCUUCACUAUGACUGAGAUAUUUGAUGCAUUUUUUGUGCUUUAUUGUAAUUUUAUUUUUUCUUUUUCUAAAGUAAUUUUAUUCCACAGUAGUAGAUUUCCACCCUUGACUGGCUGCUGUUUCCUGAUAGGUAGUGAUUUCCCUUUUCUUUACCACCACAGCCUUAUAAUAAUAAUUUUUGAAAAAUAAUCUAACAAAGAUGUAGCCGUUGCCUUGAUUGGAUACACACUGAGAAUCUUGCGUCUAUUAGUUUUUGCAAUUCAUGAUACACAUUUACAAAAAUCAUAGUCUUAAACAUGAAUUUCCAUUGUGUUCAUAGUAAGGAAAAUUUAAAACUAGUUUCUAACAGCCCACUUGACUAUCUGUACUUGGGAUGGCUGUCUUUAACCUGGGAGCACAAUGAAUUGAGCAACUUUCAGUAUUUUAAGAAUUAAUUCAAUAAAAAUAUCAGGAGGUAAGGUUACUUGACAACACAUUGAAACAUGUUUUUCUUCACAUAAAAAAUAUCUACCUUUUUCUCAGUUGGUAUUGUUAAGGCGACCUAUAUCCCAUGGACAUGCAAGGCAUUUUCCUUGCCUCAUCUUUUGCAUUGUGGUUGUUACACUUUAGUGUAUGUGCACUGUCUAUCAAGCAGGUCUAUUAAUUUUUUCAGAUCACCAAAGUAACCAAUUUCUUUUACCCUGUAAUGCACUAAAACUCAAGUGUUAUAUUUCUUGUUUCAUAAAAGCUCUCUGUGCUUUAAUUUCACUCUCUGAAGAGGCUACAUUUCUUUUUUGUUUGUUGAAUUUUAAAGUAUUUUCCUGCAUUUUCAUCUAUUUUGGCCAUGAUGGGAACCACCUGUUCUUUUUAUUCAAUUAAGACUUUGGCCUUGAUUUUACUGAAUCUUUUCAAGAUGCAUCAUUGCUUUCGUCUGCCUUAUAAAUUUAGAGGACAUCGGCUUUUUACAUCAAAAUUACAGAAACUGCCUUUGUAGCAUUUCACUAGGAAGCAGAGUAUAUAGUCAGCUGGCAACAUUGUAACUCCUUCCAUAGAAGUCUAUGAAGAGACAACUUUCUGAACAGAACAUCCAUAGUACAGGCAGUAAGAUCAACAAUUAAUAAAUGGAACUUCAUGCAAUUGAAAAAGCUUCUGUAAGGUAAAAGCACCAUCACUUGGACAAAGUGGCAGCCUAUCAAAUGAGAAAUUAUCUUCACCAACUCUUCAUCCAAUAGAAGACUAAAAUCCAAAAUAUUUAAAGACCCAAAGAAUCCAGAUAUCAAAAAAGGAAAUCCAAUUAGAACUGGGGUACAGAUCUAAACAGAUUCCUCAACAGAGGAAUCUCAAAUGGCUAAACAACAACAUCAAAAAUGUUCAACAUCCUUAUCCAUCAGGAAAAUGCAAAUCAAAAUGACUCUGAGAUUCCAUCUAACACCUAUCAGAAUGGCUAAGUUCAAUUGCACAAGUAACAGGUAAGGAUGUAGAGCAAGGGUAAGACUCUUCCAUUGCUGGUGGGUGUGCAAUGUACAGCCACUAUGGAAGUCAAUAUGACAGUUCCUCAAAAAAUUGAGAAUUGGCCUACCUCAAGACCCAGCUGUAUCACUCACUCUUGGGUAUAUACCCAAAGGAUGCUCCAUCCUACCACAAGUUCAUUUGCUCAAUUAUGUUCAUUGUGGCUUUACUCAUAAUAGCUAGAAGUUGGAAGCAACCUACUUAGAUGUCCAUUAACAAAAGAAUGUAUAAAGAAAAUGUGAGACAUUUAGACAAUAGAGCAAUAAUCAGCUGUGAAAAAAAUGUUAAAUGAAAUUUACAGGCAAAUAGAUGCAACUAGAAAAUAUUAUUCUGAAUGAGGUAACCUAAAUCUUGAAAGACAAAUAUUUAUUUACUCAAAUAUUUAUUUACUCAAAUAUAUAUUUAUUUAUUAUUUAAUAAGUGAACAAAUGGUAUUUAUUCACUUAUUAGUAUACCAGAUGUUAAAUACAAGAUAAUUAAGCUAUAAUCCACAGACUCAAAGAGGUUAUGUAAUGAGUGAGGCUUUAGUGAGGACAUAUGUAUUUCCCUGGGAUAGGAAAAUAGAAUAAAUUCUGCAGGUGGACUGGAAUGGAUCAGGUUUGGGGUUUAAAGGAGUGACAAAAUGCAGUGAAAGAUUGCUGGUAUUAGGAUGGGGCAUUAGGCGGGACAGUGUGCAAACUUAUUGCAGUAGAAACUUCCUGGAAUCCAUAAGAGUGAAGCUAGUGAAGACUCCUCGUACUAGAGAAUAUGGAGUGUGAACUGCCGUCUUUUGUAGCCAGGCAAGGCUUCUAGUUGUGGUCCAUGGUUGUAUUUGGUCAAGCUAUUGACUGAUAGUGUCCUGUGGAGACCUCCAAACAACACAGGCUGAUGGUAGGACAGAGAGUCACUUGCUGAAAACUGACAGCAGGGACCCUUUACCAAGGACAACAGUAAAGUUGAAAUUUCUGUUUUCCUUGGAAACUCAGUUGUGUCAUGUGAUUUUUUUUUUCCUGGAAACUGUCUUAUGAGAGGAUGUUUUUGCUGAAGCAGACACAUGAAAGGAUAUAUUGUUGAGAGUAGACACAUGGUGUUUUUCUGCAAGCCACCUGGAAAAGGGGCAUGUAGAUGUUUUGCUAUAAAGGAUGAAUAAGAGAACACGUGAUGUUUGAAAAGAGUAUAACUAUAAUCCAACAGACAGUGAAUGAGGCUGUGUGGUAUUGGUUUGCCUUACCAAUCUUUGCUGGUCUUUAGACAUUGCUGAUGGUGGUUUUCAUUUGAUGACACUGUGUGGAAUUGGUUCACUUUGCCACUCUUUGCUGAUCAUAGUUCACUGUGACUUC
rnacentral:lncRNA from 1 species